UACGAAGGGGGCUAGCGUUGCUCGGAAUCACUGGGCGUAAAGCGCACGUAGGCGGAUUGUUAAGUCAGUGGUGAAAUCCUGGAGCUCAACUCCAGAACUGCCUUUGAUACUGGCGAUCUCGAGUCCGGGAGAGGUGAGUGGAACUGCGAGUGUAGAGGUGAAAUUCGUAGAUAUUCGCAAGAACACCAGUGGCGAAGGCGGCUCACUGGCCCGGUACUGACGCUGAGGUGCGAAAGCGUGGGGAGCAAACAGG
rnacentral:rRNA from 1 species